rnacentral:rRNA from 1 species
AUUGAACGCUGGCGACAGGCCUAACACAUGCAAGUCGAACGAGUGGCGGACGGGUGAGUAAUGUCUGGGAAACUGCCCGAUGGAGGGGGAUAACUACUGGAAACGGUAGCUAAUACCGCAUACCAUCGGAUGUACCCAGAUGGGAUUAGCUUGUAGGUGAGGUAACGGCUCACCCAGGCGACGAUCCCUAGCUGGUCUGGGAGGAUGACCAGCUACACUGGAACUGAGCCACGGUCCAGACUCCUACGGGAGGCAGCAGUGGGGAAUAUUGCACUAUGGGCUCAAGCCUGAUACAGCCAUGCCGCGUGUAUGAAGAAGGCCUUCGGGUUUUAAAGUACUUUCAGCGGGGAGGCGUUACCCGCAGAAGAAGCACCGGCUAACUCCGUGCCAGCCGCCGCGGUAAUUC